UAAGCGGAGAAAAAGAAAAUAACUAUGAUUCCUAGAGUAACGGCGAGUGAAAUAGGAAUAGCCCAUAGCCGAAUUCCGCUGUCCUCGACGGCAGCUGGAAGUUGUGGCGUUGGGAACUGUCUAUUGUAACCGAUCGGUCGGGCAACGCGACUCCUCUUGAUUGUGGUUUUGCCCAUAGCAGGUGAAAGGCCUAUAGUCGUAGCUUCGAGUCGAAGACCGGCGGUGAUGACAGUCCUUAGAGUCGGGUUGUUUGGGAUUGCAGCCCGAAGCAGGUGGUAAACUCCACCUAAGGCUAAAUACGAUCGCGAGUCCGAUAGCGCACAAGUACCGUGAGGGACAGUUGAAAAGAACUUUGAAGAGAGAGUUCAAAGUACGUCAAACCGUUCAGAGGUAAACGAAUGGAAAGUCGAAUUGAAGGCUGACAAUCAAGCCGUUGGCCUAGUCUGAGUUGGGCUGGUAGUACGUUAAAGGCUGCCAGUUUGCUCGCACGGCUGGCUAUGGUUGUAUUUGUUGGUCUUGGAUCGCCGCGACGGCAGUGUCUGACCGGUUUGGUGUCGGUUCCUCUGGUCCGCUAGGAUCCAUUUGGGUCUUUUAGUUGGCAAACGGAUCGGCAUCCCGCGUACAUAGCACAGCCGAUGUUAUAUGCGAUUUCAGUGCUUCAUCUAGCCAUCGUUCGUUGCGUAUCGGUAGUCUGAUGUUAAAUAACUUCACCUGCUGACAUCGUGGCGGCGGUGGUUGGUUUAAUGACGAAGCUAAAGUCGUGCAGCGGCGUUUGACUACGAAUUAUCCAUUCGACCCGUCUUGAAACACGGACCAAGGAGUCUAACCUGUGCGCGAGCCAUUGAGAUUACAAAACUCAAAGGCGUAGUGAAAGCAAUUUCGGUGAGAUCCGUCGUUUUUAUCGCUAAGAUUAACGGCGGCGCAUCAUCGUCACGCCACAACUCGGCUUCGGCUGUGGUGGCGCAGAUUGAGCGUACAAGUUGGGACCCGAAAGAUGGUGAACUAUGCGUGGCGAGGUCGAAGCCAGAGGAAACUCUGGUGGAGGACUGUAGCGGUUCUAACGUGCAAAUUGAUCGUCGCAGCUGCGUAUAGGGGCGAAAGACUAAUCGAACCAUCUAGUAGCUGGUUCCCUCCGAAGUUUCCCUCAGGAUAGCUGGCACUUCGAAAUAGCAGUUUUGUCCGGUAAAGCGAAUGACUAGAGGCCUUGGGGACAUAACGACCUCAACCUAUUCUCAAACUUUGAAUGGGCAAGAAGAGUGACUCACUUAAUUGGAGUUAUCUCAUUAAUGAAUGCUUGAGUGCCAAGUGGGCCAUUUUUGGUAAGCAGAACUGGCGCUGUGGGAUGAACCAAACGUUUAGCUAAGGUGCCAAAUGCUAACGCUCAUCCGAACCCAUUAAAGGUGUUGGUUGAUAGAGACAGCAGGACGGUGGCCAUGGAAGUCGGAACCCGCCAAGGAGUGUGUAACAACUCACCUGCCGAAUCAACCAGUCCUGAAAAUGGAUGGCGCUGAAGCGUUGUGAACCUAUGCUAGACCGGCAUGGCAAUGUUUUUUAACUAAAUCACGCUAUGCCGAGUAGGAGGGUCGCUGUGGUAUGCGUUGAAGCUUUGGGCGAGAGCCCGAGUCGAGCUUCCACAGGUGCAGAUCUUGGUGGUAGUAGCAAAUAUUCAAACGAGAGCUUUGAAGGCCGAAGUGGAGAAGGGUUCCAUGUGAACAGCAUUUGAACAUGGGUCAGUCGGUCCUAAGCGAUAGGCGAAUGCCGUUCUGAAAGCAGGCUUGAUUUCUUAAAAAAUUUCAAUAAUGCCUGAUUUCGGUCGAAAGGGAAUCGGGUUAAUAUUCCCGAACCUGGACGCGGAGAUGGAGUCGUAGGCAACUACGGCUCAGUGCGGUAACGCAAACGAUCUCGGAUUAGUCGGCGAGAGUCCUGGGAAGAGUUCUCUCUUCUUUGUAAGGGGCUGAAUCCCUGGAAUCGGCUUAGCCGGAGAUAGGGAUAUUGCAAGUUCCCGUAAAGCAUCACACUUCUUGUGAUGUCCGGUGCACGAUUGUCGACACUUAAAAGUCCGAGCUAGACGUUCAUAAUGUUCGCGCCAGGCCGUACCCAUAUCCGCAGCAGGUCUCCAAGGUGAACAGCCUCUGGCCAAUAGACUGAUGUAGUCAAGGGAAGUCGGCAAAUUGGAUCCGUAACUUCCGAACAAGGAUUGGCUCUAUGGGUUGGGCCGUGACGGGCUGUGCUAGGAAGCGAUGCCUGCUAUUGGUGCUUUGGGUCUGGCUGGCAACGGCUGGGCCUAGCGCCGAUUGGCGGCGCGUGGAUCUGGCAUGGCUUCUGUCAGCGAUCUUCGGGUCGUUGGCAUCGUUCGGCAACAAGCAACCGCCAUAGAACUGGUACGGACCAGGGGAAUCUGACUGGCUAAUUAAAACAUAGCAUUGCGAUGGCCGCAGCCUGGUGUUGACGCAAUGUGAUUUCUGCCCAGUGCUCUGAAUGUCAAAGUGAAGAAAUUCAACCAAGCUCGGGUAAACGGCGGGAGUAACUAUGACUCUCUUAAGGUAGCCAAAUGCCUCGUCAUCUAAUUAGUGACGCGCAUGAAUGGAUUAACGAGAUUCCCACUGUCCCUGGCUACCAUCUAGCGAAACCACAGCCAAGGGAACGGGCUUGGCCAAAUCAGCGGGGAAAGAAGACCCUGUUGAGCUUGACUCUAGUCUGACUUUGUGAAGAGACAUAGGAGGUGUAGCAUAGGUGGGAGCCGCAAGGCGAUCUUGAAAUACCACUACUUCUAUCGUUUCUUUACUUAUUCAAUUAAGCGGAAAUUGACCUUCACCGGUCUACCUUUUGGUUCGAAACA
rnacentral:rRNA from 1 species